GAUGAAGAACGUAGCGAAAUGCGAUAAGUAAUGUGAAUUGCAGAAUUCAGUGAACCAUCGAAUCUUUGAACGCACCUUGCACUCCUUGGUAUUCCGAGGAGUACGCCUGUUCGAGUGUUAUGAAGCUCUCAAAACGCAAUUGGCUUAAAACCUGAUUGUUGUUUUGGAUUUGAACUUUGCCGUGUUAUAACGGCUGGUUUUAAAAGUAUUAGCUGGUACUAGAACGAAUUGGUUCUACUCAACGUGAUAAUUAUCUGAUCGUUGAGGACAUUCCUUUCACGAGGAAUGGCCAUAGUAAAUUCAAUGGACUGCUUCUAAUCUGGCUUUAAUUCUUUAUUGGAUUAACCACUUUUCAAAUCUGACCUCGAAUCAGGUGGGACUACCCGCUGAACUUAAGCAUAUCAAUAAGCGGAGGA
rnacentral:misc_RNA from 1 species